ACGCAUGCCAUGGGAAACAGAAACAACAUACAAAUGCGUGAAGGAGUACAUGAAGGGAGACGGUGUUCCAGGGAGACGUCACACCCAAAGUAAACCGCUACUCCCAGACACACAAAACCUGAGAGAUGGACGGAUAGAAGAAGCAGUGACAGGAAAGGAGGGGGAUGACGCAGCAUGUGAUGCCAAGCCUGCUCCAGUUGCCACAGUAACACCUGUUUGAGGACCACGAAAACAAGCCUCUUCAGAUAUGAAUACUAACUAAGCCUUACUAAGUUACUCUGCAGCUCGCCAAAUCUUUAAACAGCUAAUGACAUAUCCUUGAUACAGACACAAUUUGCAGCCUCUGGUUAUUGUAAUCCGACUGAAGGAUGGAAAUCACAGUGGGGUGUUGGGAUUGGUGUGGAGUAGAGGUGUAUGCUCUACUCCUGCGGGGGUCAGGGGGUGGGGGCGCGUCUGAUGGCUGGCCUUUGCAUCUCCCUUUCCCUGCUGCUUAUCCAAUCCCCCAGUCAGGGCUUAGCUGAUAUGACGAACUGUGGAAGUAAUCGUGCCAGAGCUAGCAGAGCCCUGCUCCUCCUCACAUCUCCCUCCCUUCCUCACUUGUCUCCUUCUUCCCCUGCUGAAGGACGCCUCUUUCUUUUUAAAAGAGCAAAAAUAAAUUAAAAAAAAUAGUGCGUAAAGACACCGCCACGGCGCUCUCAGAAAAGCGGACAGCUGCUGAAGCCCGAGCUAAAGCGUCCCUGCCUGAUCCAAGCAGGUGCCGUGGGAGGGCUGGGAGAGUGGGGUUCUCGCAUGGAGCUUCAAAAGGAGUCUUGGUUUUGCCCAGAGCCCCUGGUGGCAGCGGGCGACCUACAGUGAAGGCGACUGGAGGGAUACCCUCACUGAAUGGAGAGCAGAGGGGUGGGUGGGGGGAGGCGCUCAGCCCCGUGUAUUGUACUUCUGUUAGCCCUUCAUGGUGGAUAGAUCCAAGGACUAAACGGACUAAAGGGAGUGCAAGUGCAACGCUCGGGCUGGAGGAUACAGAAAUGGUAACAGGAGGACGGCAGUGGAUUACGCCACAUACAGCGACCACGGCGAAGACCCUGACGCGUCACAGCGCGCUCUGCACCAACCGAGGCAGGCACCGGUGCUGAGGAGGUUUUGCUGCCGAGAGCUGAGGCGGACUGAAUGGUGAAUGGUGUCUGGGAGGACGGACGCGGCAG